AUUGAACGCUAGCGGGAUGCCUUACACAUGCAAGUCGAACGGAGUGGCGAACGGGUGAGUAAUGUAUCGGAACGUGCCCAGUAGCGGGGGAUAACUACGCGAAAGCGUAGCUAAUACCGCAUACUAUUGGAGCGGCCGAUAUCGGAUUAGCUAGUUGGUGGGGUAAGGGCUCACCAAGGCGACGAUCCGAAGCUGGUUUGAGAGGACGACCAGCCACACUGAAACUGACACACGGCCCAGAAUCCUACGGGAGGCAGCGGUGGGGAAUUUUCGACAAUGGGGGAAUCCCUGAUCCAGCCAUCCCGCGUGUAAGAUGCAGGCCUUCGGGUUGUAAUGCACUUUUGGCAGGAAAGCGGUACCUGCAGAAGAAGCCCCGGCUAACUACGUGCCAGCAGCCGCGGUAAUUC
rnacentral:rRNA from 1 species